CAGCUGAGGGCUGUAGGAAGCAAAAGGCUCCUGCAGGCCCAGCUAAGAUGCCAGAGGAGUAAAGACUCUAGCGAGACCUAUGAGCAGCAAUGGUCUAGAACUGGUUUCAUCACCCUCACAGAAGAGUGAAUGCUAAGGAGGCAGCUGAGUGAAAAAUGCUGACUCUAAUAAGUGAAUGCAGAAUGUUUCCAUCUAGUGUAGGAUGCAUGGGUGUUUUCAAACUACCCUAGAAAA